rnacentral:rRNA from 1 species
UGAGGAAUAUUGCGCAAUGGGGGAAACCCUGACGCAGCGACGCCGCGUGAGUGAUGAAGGCCUUCGGGUUGUAAAGCUCUGUCAGAGGGAAAGAAAGGGGUGUCGGAAUAAUACCCGACACCAUUGACGGUACCCUCGGAGGAAGCACCGGCUAACUCCGUGCCAGCAGCCGCGGUAAUACGGAGGGUGCAAGUGUUAUUCGGAAUCACUGGGCGUAAAGAGCACGUAGGCGGAUAGGUAAGUCAGAUGUGAAAUCCCGGGGCUUAGCUUCGGAACUGCAUUUGAUACUGCCUUUCUUGAGUAUGGUAGAGGGGGAUGGAAUUCCCGGUGUAGAGGUGAAAUUCGUAGAUAUUAGGAGGAACACCAGUGGCGAAGGCGGCUUUCUGGACUGUAACUGACACUGAGGCACGAAAGCGUGGGGAGCAAACA